GUGGCCUGCAGCUGCUCCUGCACUGGGGCUGAGCCAGCAAACUUCCGGGGCUGGGGCUGCUGGGCAGGGCAAGGUCCGCACAGGGAGCAGACAGACGCAGCCUGCAAUUCGGCGCUUAUCCCCACCGGAGCGGAGGCACACCAAAGCCAAAGGACACGCAGCUGGCCUCAAAGCAGAAGCUGCAUCGGGGCUGGGAAGCCAUUCAGGAGCCCUUUUCUCUCCCCUCGCCCUCACCCUGAGCCCUGGCCGCCACGGCCCACACAGCAGGCCCUCCGGAGAGAGAUGUCAGGACUCCGAGUGGAGACACUUUAUCCGCAUGUUCUUGACCCUCAUACAGCCCUUACGGCCUGGGAAGAGCCAUCUCUGCUGAGGGAUCCCCGAACGCGGGGACUCCGGAUCCGGCUGGCUGGAACGGGAGUCCCGGGCCGGGGCAGAGAGAGGUGAGCGGCGCCUGGGAGGCCAGUCCCACCGGAGGAUAGGGGUGUAGGUGGACGGGAGGCGGUGGAGGGCAGGGACGGGGCGGACAGUGGGGGCUGAGGCGGGAGACGGCCCCGAUCUGCGCGUCCCACCCCCAUCUCCGCCCACCAGGAGCCAGGCCAGCAGGGACCGCGAGGGGGCGGCCAGGUUAUUCACGGGAGUGGGGAGACCCCUUAAAGCGCCCUCAGGGACCGGCCACAGUGGGCGGGGCCACCCCCAGCCACCCACCUCCCCCCCCAGGCCCCGCCCC
rnacentral:lncRNA from 1 species